rnacentral:rRNA from 1 species
GACGAACGCUGGCGGCGUGCUUAACACAUGCAAGUCGAACGAUGACGCCCAGCUUGCUGGGUGGAUUAGUGGCGAACGGGUGAGUAACACGUGGGCAACCUGCCCCAAACUCUGGGAUAACACCUCGAAAGAGGAGCUAAUACCGGAUACGAACUGGACACACCUCUGUAACAGUUGGAAAGGUUUUCGGUUUGGGAUGGGCCCGCGGCCUAUCAGCUUGUUGGUGAGGUAACGGCCCACCAAGGCGACGACGGGUAACCGGCCUGAGAGGGCGAACGGUCACACUGGGACUGAGACACGGCCCAGACUCCUACUGGAGGCAGCAGUGGGGAAUAUUGCGCAAUGGGCGAAAGCCUGACGCAGCGACGCCGCGUGAGGGAUGAAGGUCUUCGGAUCGUAGACCUCUUUCAGUAGGGACGAAGCGAAAGUGACGGUACCUAAAGAAGAAGCACCGGCUAACUACGUGCCAGCCGCCGCGGUAA